rnacentral:rRNA from 1 species
CAAGCGGUGGAGCAUGUGGUUCAAUUCGACGCAACGCGAAGAACCUUACCUGGGCUCGAACGGCUUCUCAACGCCGGUGGAAACAUCGGUACCUCGCAAGGGGGUGGAGUCGAGGUGCUGCAUGGCUGUCGUCAGCUCGUGUCGUGAGAUGUUGGGUUAAGUCCCGCAACGAGCGCAACCCUUGUCCUGUGUUGCCAUGCCCGAAAGGGCGGAACUCGCAGGAGACCGCCAGCGAUAAGCUGGAGGAAGGUGGGGAUGACGUCAAGUCCUCAUGGCCUUUAUGUCCAGGGCUACACACGUGCUACAAUGGACGGUACAAUACGUCGCUAACCCGCGAGGGGGAGCCAAUCGCCAAAAACCGUUCUCAGUUCGGAUUGCAGGCUGCAACUCGCCUGCAUGAAGCUGGAAUCGCUAGUAAUGGCAGAUCAGCACGCUGCCGUGAAUACGUUCCCGGGCCUUGUACACACC